AGAGCGUAUGGAGGAUGCCUUGGCUCUUAGAGGCGAUGAAGGACGUGACAAACUGCGAUAAGCUGCGGGGAUUGGUUAAUACGACUUGAUCCGUAGAUUUCCGAAUGGGGCAACCCACUUCAGUGAAGCUGAAGUAUCCGUAAGGAGGCAAACCCAGAGAACUGAAACAUCUAAGUAUCUGGAGGAAAAUAAAACAAUAGUGAUUUCGUUAGUAGUGGCGAGCGAACGCGAAGAAGCCCAAACCAUAGUGGUCUAGGCUGCUAUGGGGUUGCAGGACUGGCUUUGUCAUAUGUAAUAGAACUCAAAUUACCUGGAAAGGUAAGCCAUAGAGGGUGAUAGCCCCGUCGAGGUAAUUGAUCAUGUGUUGCUAGUAUCCUAAGUAGGUUGGAACAGGUGAAAUUCCGACUGAAUCUGCCGGCACCAUCCGGUAAGGCUAAAUACUCCUAAGAGACCGAUAGUGAACAAGUACCGUGAGGGAAAGGUGAAAAGUACCCUGAAUAAGGGAGUGAAAAGAUCUGAAACCAUACGCUUACAAGCGGUCGGAGCCCUUUUUGGGUGACGGCGUGCCUUUUGCAUAAUGAGCCUACGAGUUAGUCCUCUUUGGCAAGGUUAACUCUUUUAAAAGAGGAAGCCGAAGCGAAAGCGAGUCUGAAUAGGGCGAGUAGUCAGAGGGGCUAGACGCGAAACCUAGUGAUCUACCCAUGGUCAGGCUGAAGCUUUGGUAAGACAAAGUGGAGGGCCGAACCAGUAGACGUUGAAAAGUCUUUGGAUGAACUGUGGGUAGGGGUGAAAGGCCAAUCAAACUAGGAGAUAGCUCGUACUCUUCGAAAUGCUUUUAGGAGCAGCCUUAACCAAUAGACUAACAGAGGUAGAGCUACCGAUAGGAUAGUGGGGGAGUCAAAUCCUACCACAUCCAGACGAACUCCGAAUGCUGUUAGUUGUUUGUUAGGAGUGAGGGCUAGGGUGCUAAGGUCCUAGUCCGAGAGGGAAAGAACCCAGACCAUCAGCUAAGGUCCCUAAAUAUAUGCUAAGUUGAACUAAGGAGGUUUAGUUGCUAAGACAGCCAGGAUGUUGGCUUGGAAGCAGCCACUCAUUUAAAGAGUGCGUAACAGCUCACUGGUCGAGCGACAAGGCGCCAAUGAUAAACGGGCAUUAAGCAUAUUACCGAAGCUAUGGCGUUUUCUAUUUAUAGAUAACGGGUAGGAGAGCAUUCUAAUUGAGUUGAAGCAGAAAAGUAAUUUUUUGUGGAUUUAUUAGAAAAGAAAAUGUAGGCAUAAGUAACGAUAAUAAUGGCGAGAAACCAUUACACCGAAAAACUAAGGUUUCCACGGCUAUGCUAGUCAUCCGUGGGUUAGUCGGACCCUAAGUCGAAGCCGAGAGGCGUAGAUGAUGGACAAUCGGUUAAUAUUCCGAUACUAACUAAUAUUAGAGAAGGGGGGACGGAGAAGUGAAAGACCUGCCCUGUAACGAAACAUGGGGUUGAAGCUUGUAGGUAUAACUUUGGGAGGAAAAUCCCCCAGAGUUGCCGAAAGUGAUAGUACUAUGAUCCUUCGGGAGAUUAGAUAAUGGUCCUAAACAUGCUUCCAAGAAAAGCCUCUAAUCGUUAUGUAUUAGCUAACCGUACCGUAAACCGACACAGGUAGUUAAGGAGAGAAUCCUAAGGUGGACGAGUGAUUCGUGGCUAAGGAACUAGGCAAAAUGACCCUGUAACUUCGGGAGAAAGGGUGCCUCGCUAGCUUGCUAGCAGGCCGCAGUGACCAGGCCCAGGCGACUGUUUAACAAAAACACAGGGCUUUGCGAAAUCGCAAAAUGAUGUAUAAGGCCUGACACCUGCCCGGUGCUGGAAGGUUAAGGAGAGGGGUUAGUCUUCGGACAAAGCUCUGAACUGAAGCCCCAGUAAACGGCGGCCGUAACUAUAACGGUCCUAAGGUAGCGAAAUUCCUUGUCGGGUAAGUUCCGACCUGCACGAAUGGUGUAACGAUCUGGGCACUGUCUCAGCCACGAGCUCGGUGAAAUUGUAGUAGCGGUGAAGAUGCCGCUUACCCGCAACGGGACGGAAAGACCCCGUGAACCUUUACUGCAGCUUCACAUUGGUAUCGAAUAAUUGAUGUGUAGGAUAGGUGGGAGACUUUGAAGCGGCGUCGCUAGGCGUUGUGGAGUCAACCUUGAAAUACCACCCUUUAUUUAUUUGAUAUCUAACCCCUGUUUUGAAGGGGGACAUUGUGUGGUGGGUAGUUUGACUGGGGUGGUCGCCUCCAAAAAAGUAACGGAGGCUUUCAAAGGUAUCCUCAGCGCGUUUGGUAAUCGCGUGUAGAGUGCAAUAGCAUAAGGGUGCUUGACUGUGAGACUUACAAGUCGAGCAGGGUCGAAAGACGGAUAUAGUGAUCCGGUGGUUCCGCAUGGAAGGGCCAUCGCUCAAAGGAUAAAAGGUACUCCGGGGAUAACAGGCUGAUCUCCCCCAAGCGCUCAUAGCGACGGGGAGGUUUGG
rnacentral:rRNA from 1 species